AUUGAACGCUGGCGGCAGGCCUAACACAUGAAAGUCGAACGAGUGGCGGAAGGGUGAGUAAUGUCUGGGAAACUGCCUGGUGGAGGGGGAUGACAACUGGAAACGGUAGAUAAUACCGCAUACCAUCGGAUGGGACCAGAUGGGAUUGGCUAGUAGGUGGGGUUAAGGCACACCUAGGAGACGAUCCCUAGCUGGUCUGAGAGGAAGACCAGCCACACUGGAACUGAGACACGGUCCAGACUCCUACGGGAGGCAGCAGUGGGGAAUAUUGCACAAAGGGCGCAAGCCUGAAGCAGCCAUGCCGCGUGUAUGAAAAAGGCCUUAGGGUUGUAAAGUACGUUCAGCGGGGAGGCGUUACCCGCAGAAGAAGCACCGGCUAACUCCGUGCCAGCAGCCGCGGUAAUUC
rnacentral:rRNA from 1 species